AGAGUUCCGCUUUUAUAAACACAUUGGGGACGUAGACACUUUUAAACAACGUUGGUGUUUUAAUAAUGUUGUGUGCUCAGUGGAAAAGAAUGAAUUGGUGUUUGCUCCUGUUUUUAUGGCAUGAAAUAUAAUUUUGCUUUGUUUGUUUUGUUUUGUUGUUGCUUUGUCUUGUUUUUUUUAACAAAGGAAGGAAAUCUGUGACCUUUUUAACACAUUGACAAAGUUGUUGAAAUAUGUAAAAUAAAUUGUUUUUCUAAAAAAUCAAAAAUCUCUCUCUCUCUCUCUCUCUCUCUCUCUCUCUCUAGGGCAGAGAAUAGCGGAGGUUGGUAGCCGUAGGCGCACUGAAAGGGCGACAAGCCGGAGGACGAGCAGGGCAGGGUGUUGUGGGCGUAUUCUACCCACAGAAGCAUCUUGGACCAGGUUGCCGGACUCUGAGAAACCAGGCAGCGAAGGCCCUUCUCCAUCUCUUGGUUAAGACGCUCAGUCUGUCCAUUGGAUUUCGGGUGGUAGCCCGAAGAUAAGCUGACCGGGUCCCCAAUCAAUGUGCAGUAGGCUUUCCAGAACUGGGAUAUGAAUUGGGGACCACGGUCAGAAACUACAUCAGCAGGAAAGCCAUGGAUCCUGAAAACAUGGGUGAGCAAAGCCUCCGCAGUUUCUUUUGCGGUAGGAAACUUGGGCAGGGGGAUAAAAUGUAGCAUCUUUGAAAAAAUGUCCACGGCUGUGAGUACCGCUGUAUUGCUAUCAGAAGGGGGCAGGCCAGUAACAAAGUCCAGGGAAAUGUCCGACCAAGGCCGCUUGGGAAUAGGCAGAGGCUGCAGGAGACCAACAGGAGCUUGACGUGAGGUCUUGUUUCGGGCACAGGUUGGACAUGCAGCCACAUACUCUCCCACUGCUUUCUCCAUAGACUGCCACCAGAAGCGUUGCCGUAUUACAAAAACGGUUCUCUUGACUCCCGGUUGACAAGAGAGGAGACAUGUGUGUGCCCAAUGGAUGACCUGAGCCCUGAGACCAGCAGGGAGAAACAGGCGGUUGGGGGGGGCUACCGACAGGGACAAUUGAACCAUCUUGGGCCCUCUUUGUCACAGUGUGGUUCACUUCCUGUCUUAUUUUGUAGUUUUCUGCCACUCGUGACCCCGGGUAACUUCACUUCCUGCCUUGUCCUGUCAUCCCCUGUGAUCGUCUAAUAGCUUCCACCUGUGUCCAAUCACCUGCACCCAGUGCUGUAGUGGUAAAAUUAGAGGUGGGUAAACUCUGAAUUUUGUGAUCAUACAGACCUCAACGUGAUGCGAAGCAACGCAACACAAAGCGUCGCGACUCUGUAAGGCUGUCCUGGCUAUAUUGCAUUAUGUUAUCAGUAAAAGUCAUAUACAAUCAAUGACAAUGAAUAAAUGUCUUAGUAGUUUAUUAAAUUUAAGAAAACAGUAAAGAAAAGUAUGUCAACACAACACAACAACACAAUUGCAGAUUAAGAACUAUCUACAUACGGAGUCUCCUUUUUACAGUAGUGCCCAGAGGGCCUCCUUGUCCUCCACGUCAGGUCCUGCCUUGCACAGAGGAGCCAUGAACCCCAGAACACGCGUUCUGGGGUUCAUGGCUCCCCUGUGCCUCUCUCUUUUUGCACCUGGUGUUUCUCCUCUCCCUGUGCUUUCUGCGUCAUUGCCUGUCCUCUCACUGCCUGAAAAAAAAUGUUGAAUUUAAGAGUUAACCAGUUAAGCAGCCUGUCAAUUACACUGACAACAUAAGUUAAAGGAACACUCAUGUACUACCUAUGUCAUCAUAUAUGCAUCAUACAUUGAGAACUGACUUGUUUUCUAAUCUACGCGUCACCAGGCGUUUUUCAUGUCAUUUGACCGUGCACGACCAGCGAACACAGAGCGUGCGACUACUACCCCCCGUCGGUCGUUCCGCCCGCAACGACUACUACCCCCCCCCCGUCGGACCUUCUCGACCGGUCCGCGAAAUAUUGUCUGACAUGAAACCGGUCCGUGAGGUUAAAAAGGUUGGGCCACUGGGCUGAUCCACAACGUGUAUGUUUAUACACCUCCUGGAUCCUGAUUGGUGUCGCUGCUGCAGCCGCAAGGCACUGAUUGGAUGCUCACAGACCGUAAUACAGCGCAGAUGAACAUGAUUCAGACUUUGGCGUUUAUAUGUUCAACAAUAGGAAACGUAGUCUUAGCUGUUUUAAAAUUACACCAAGUUUAUUGCGGAUUAUUCCUACGGAAGAAUACAAGGCGCAGGGAACUUUGAGGUGCGUAAACGCCACUUAUAGGUGCAUAAACGCUAUUUCCAAAAUUCUAGAGGUGCGUAAACGGCGUUUACGUGCGUUUACCCUCCACUACAGCCCUGCCUGCACCUCCCUUGUGUAUUUAAGCCGUGUGUCUCUUGUGUCACUUGUCGCGUCAUUGUCUAUCGUCGUGGAUGUUCGUAGUUUCCUGCCUGCUGUUUUUCCCCUGGUUCCUGUGUGUUUUUGCCUUUUGACUAUUAAAGUCUUUUGUUUUUUGAGAAGUCUGCAUUUGAGUCCUGCCUCCUCCACGCACCCCACUCACCCCUGACAGAAUGACGCGACCAAAGAAGGGCUCAGCAGACCCGCUGCCAGGGACCUGAGUAUUUGGACGUAAGAAGUCCCUUCUGGCGGCGUAAGACCAACUUCAGCUUCGGUCCCAGGGGCUAUUAGCUCGCCUGCCUCGAGCUCCGGGAUCUUCUAAAUCCCACUCCUCCAAAGCUACUUUGACUGCCAGCAACUCCCUGUUGCCACCAUCAUAGUUCCUCUCAGGUCCAGACAGCUUACGGAACAGGAACGCACAGGAUGGAGUCUCUCAUCUUGUGGAGAACGUUGGGAUAGGACAGCACCAACACCCACAUCAGACGCGUUCACCUCCACCACAAACUGGCGUGGUAGAUUAGGCAGCAUCAACACAGGGGCGGUGGUGAAGCUCUGUUUCAGGUGGGAAAACGCCCGCUUGGCUGCCGGGGACCACUGGAACGGAGUCUUGAUUGACGUGAGAUUGUGAAGAGGCGCCGCCACUGUACUGAAAUUCCUGAUGAAUUUCCGGUAAAAGUUAGCAAAUCCCAGAAACCUCUGGACUUGCUUGCGAGUCGUGGGUGUCGGCCAUUCGGCAACCGCUCGGACUUUCUCCGGGUCCAUCUGGAUCACUCCUUCCGACACCACGAAGCCCAGAAAGGAGACCGUGGUCACGUAAAACUCGCAUUUCUCGGCUUUGACAUAAUGCUGGUUGUCCAAAAGCCUCUACAGCACCAGGCGAACGUGUUGCACAUGAGAGUCCUUGUCAGGCGAGAAGAUGAGGAUGUCGUCCAAGUAGACGAACACAAAUAGAUUGAGCAUGUCUCUGAGAAUGUCAUUGACAAGCAAUUGAAAUACAGCUGGGGCGUUAGUCCAAAACGUAAGUCCAAACGGCAUUACUAGAAACUCGUAAUGGCUUGUGGGUGUGUUAAAAGCAGUUUUCCACUCGUCCCCACUCCUCAUUCUCACCAAGUGGGCAUUACGAAGAUCCAAUUUGGUGAAAAUCUUGGCCCCCUGAAGCAGUUCAAAGGCGGUGGAAAUAAGGGGUAGGGGAUAACUGUUCUUCACCGUGAUGUCGU
ensembl:lncRNA